GGAUUCGAAUGGGGGAACCCUGACGCAGCACGCCGCGUGGAGGAUGAAGUCCUUCGGGACGUAAACUCCUUUCGACCGGGACGAUAAUGACGGUACCGGAAGAAGAAGCCCCGGCUAACUUCGUGCCAGCAGCCGCGGUAAUACGAGGGGGGCGAGCGUUGUUCGGAAUUAUUGGGCGUAAAGGGUGCGUAGGCGGUUUGGUAAGUCUGAUGUGAAAUCUAUGGGCUCAACUCAUAGCUUGCAUCGGAAACUGCCGGGCUGGAGUGUGGGAGAGGUGAGUGGAAUUUCCGGUGUAGCGGUGAAAUGCGUAGAUAUCGGAAGGAACACCUGUGGCGAAAGCGGCUCACUGGACCAUAACUGACGCUGAUGCACGAAAGCUAGGGGAGCAAACAGGAUUAGAUACCCUGGUAGUCCUAGCCCUAAACCAUGACUGCUUGGUGUGACGGGUACCCAAUCCCGCCGUGCCGUAGCUAACGCGUUAAGCAGUCCGCCUGGGGAGUACGGUCGCAAGGCUGAAACUCAAAGAAAUUGACGGA
rnacentral:rRNA from 1 species